rnacentral:rRNA from 1 species
GAUGAACGCUAGCGGGAGGCCUAAUACAUGCAAGUCGAACGGUAACAGGUAGCAAUACGCUGACGAGUGGCGCACGGGUGCGUAACGCGUACACAAUCUGCCUUAUACUGGGGCAUAGCCUUUGGAAACGAAGAAUAAUUCCCCAUAACAUAUAGAAGAGGCAUCUCUUUUAUAUUAAAGCUCAGGCGGUAUAAGAUGAGUGUGCGUCCGAUUAGGUAGUUGGUGAGGUAACGGCUCACCAAGCCAACGAUCGGUAGCUGGUCUGAGAGGAUGAUCAGCCACACGGGCACUGAGACACGGGGCCCGACUCCUACGGGAGGCAGCAGUAGGGAAUAUUGGACAAUGGGCGCAAGCCUGAUCCAGCCAUCCCGCGUGAAGGAUGAAGGUCCUCUGGAUUGUAAACUUC